rnacentral:rRNA from 1 species
UGCGCAGGCGGCCUGGUAAGUCAGGGGUGAAAUAUGACGGCUCAACCGUCAAACUGCCCCUGAAACUGUCAGGCUUGAGUCCGGGAGAGGUUGGUGGAAUUCCAGGUGUAGCGGUGAAAUGCGUAAAUAUCUGGAGGAACACCGGUGGCGAAGGCGGCCAACUGGCCCGGUACUGACGCUCAGGCACGAAAGCAUGGGGAGCGAACAGGAUUAGAUACCCUGGUAGUCC